rnacentral:rRNA from 1 species
GUACUCGAGCGGCGAACGGGUGAGUAACACGUGAGCAACCUGCCCCAAGCUUUGGGAUAACCCCGGGAAACCGGGGCUAAUACCGAAUAUUACCUGGCCUCGCAUGAGGCUGGGUGGAAAGUUUUUCGGCUUGGGAUGGGCUCGCGGCCUAUCAGCUUGUUGGUGGGGUGAUGGCCUACCAAGGCGACGACGGGUAGCCGGCCUGAGAGGGCGACCGGCCACACUGGGACUGAGACACGGCCCAGACUCCUACGGGAGGCAGCAGUGGGGAAUAUUGCACAAUGGGCGGAAGCCUGAUGCAGCGACGCCGCGUGAGGGAUGACGGCCUUCGGGUUGUAAACCUCUUUCAGCAGGGACGAAGCGAGAGUGACGGUACCUGCAGAAGAAGCGCCGGCCAACUACGUGCCAGCAGCCGCGGUAAGACGUAGGGCGCGAGCGUUGUCCGGAUUUAUUGGGCGUAAAGAGCUCGUAGGCGGCUUGUCGCGUCGACCGUGAAAACUUGGGGCUCAACCCCAAGCCUGCGGUCGAUACGGGCAGGCUAGAGUUCGGUAGGGGAGACUGGAAUUCCUGGUGUAGCGGUGAAAUGCGCAGAUAUCAGGAGGAACACCGGUGGCGAAGGCGGGUCUCUGGGCCGAUACUGACGCUGAGGAGCGAAAGCGUGGGGAGCGAACAGGAUUAGAUACCCUGGUAGUCCACGCUGUAAACGUUG